rnacentral:rRNA from 1 species
UACGGAAGGCAGCAGUGGGGAAUAUUGGACAAUGGGCGAAAGCCUGAUCCAGCCAUGCCGCAUGAGUGAAGAAGGCCUUCGGGUUGUAAAGCUCUUUUAGUGAGAAAGAUAAUGACGGUACUCACAGAAGAAGUCCUGGCUAACUCCGUGCCAGCAGCCGCGGUAAUACGGAGAGGGCUAGCGUUAUUCGGAAUUAUUGGGCGUAAAGGGCACGCAGGCGGUUAAUUAAGUUGGAUGUGAAAUCCCCGGGCUUAACCUGGGAAUGGCAUUCAAGACUGGUUAGCUAGAGUCUUGUAGAGGGGGUAGAAUUCCAUGUGUAGCGGUGAAAUGCGUAGAGAUGUGGAGGAAUACCGGUGGCGAAGGCGGCCCCUGGACAAAGACUGACGCUCAUGUGCGAAAGCGUGGGGAGCAAACAGGGAUUAGAUACC